AGUGAACGCUGGCGGUAGGCCUAACACAUGCAAGUCGAACGGCAGCACAGUAAGAGCUUGCUCUUACGGGUGGCGAGUGGCGGACGGGUGAGGAAUACAUCGGAAUCUACUUUUUCGUGGGGGAUAACGUAGGGAAACUUACGCUAAUACCGCAUACGACCUACGGGUGAAAGCAGGGGAUCUUCGGACCUUGCGCGAUUGAAUGGGCCGAUGUCGGAUUAGCUAGUUGGCGGGGUAAAGGCCCACCAAGGCGACGAUCCGUAGCUGGUCUGAGAGGAUGAUCAGCCACACUGGAACUGAGACACGGUCCAGACUCCUACGGGAGGCAGCAGUGGGGAAUAUUGGACAAUGGGCGCAAGCCUGAUCCAGCCAUACCGCGUGGGUGAAGAAGGCCUUCGGGUUGUAAAGCCCUUUUGUUGGGAAAGAAAAGCAGCAGGUUAAUACCCCGCUGUUCUGACGGUACCCAAAGAAUAGGCACCGGCUAACUUCGUG
rnacentral:rRNA from 1 species